rnacentral:rRNA from 1 species
AGCAGCCGCGGUAAUUCCAGCUCCAAUAGCGUAUAUUAAAGUUGUUGCAGUUAAAAAGCUCGUAGUUGAAUUUCGGGGUUAGUAGAUUGGUCAUGCCUCUGGUAUGUACUGGUCUCACUGAUUCCUCCUUCCUGAUGAACCUUAAUGCCAUUAAUUUGGUGUUUUGGGGAAUUUGGACUGUUACUUUGAAAAAAUUAGAGUGUCUAAAGCAAGCUAACGCUUGAAUACAUUAGCAUGGAAUAAUGAAAUAGGACGUUCGAUCCUAUUUUGUUGGUUUCUAGGAUUGACGUAAUGAUUAAUAGGGAUAGUUGGGGGCAUUAGUAUUCAAUUGUCAGAGGUGAAAUUCUUGGAUUUAUUGAAGACUAACUACUGCGAAAGCAUUUGCCAAGGAUGUUUUCAUUAAUCAAGAACGAAAGUUAGGGGAUCGAAGACGAUCAGAUACCGUCGUAGUCUUAACCAUAAACUAUGCCGGCUAGGGAUCGGAUGAUGUUAAUUUUUUAAUGACUCA